rnacentral:rRNA from 1 species
UAGGGAAUAUUGGUCAAUGGGCGGAAGCCUGAACCAGCCAUGCCGCGUGCAGGAUGAAAGCCCAAAGGGUUGUAAACUGCUUUUGUAUGGGAAUAAAAAAGUUCUUGCGAGGACUCUUGAAUGUACCAUAAGAAUAAGCACCGGCUAACUCCGUGCCAGCAGCCGCGGUAAGACGGAGGGUGCAAGCGUUAUCCGGAUUUACUGGGUUUAAAGGGUGCGUAGGCGGCUUUUUAAGUUAGUGGUGAAAGUCUUGGCGCUUAACGUUAGAAGUGCCACUGAUACUGGGGAGCUUGAGUCAAGAAGAGGUAAGCAGAAUUCAUAGUGUAGCAGUGAAAUGCUUAGAUACUAUGAGGAAUACCAACAGCGCAGGCAGCUUACUGGUCUUGUACUGACGCUGAGGCACGAAAGCGUGGGGAGCAAACAGGAUUAGAUACCCCCGUAGUCC